CAAUAAUCAGUAUAUAUAGGAGCAGCAACCAAAGGAAAUCUAUACACCUUUGAAAAUCUCAUUCAAAGUCAGAAGAUAAUCAAGUUUUGACUCAACACACAAUGAAGAUUUUGUGCUUAGUUCUUGGACUGCUGCUGCUGACUAUGUACUCUGGAGCAACUGCUGGGAUUAGCUCAAUGAGAUCACACAAAAACUGCUGCCAUGAUUUCAAAAUAAAACCUAUUAACAAGAAAGAUAUUGCCUCCAUCAAUAAAAUUCCUUUGUACUGUAAGCAAUUUGGAUUCAAAGUCAAAUAUCCAAACGGAAAAGGAAUUUGCUACCAUAAUGAUGACAAAUGGGCUCAGAGGAUAUACAAGCAAUUCAACCAUGCCAACUGAAGAUCCUUUUGAAGAAACAAUGGGAAAGAGCAAAAACAUAAAAGCAACAGCUAUCAAUAUUGUUGAGAUUUUUUGCAUUAUUGCAACAGCUGUCAUUACAACUAUUAACAUAAUUAUUUUUCAUGCAAUGCUAAAUCCAAGUAAAAAAUGUAUCUAAAAUUGCUUGGUUUUCGACCAAUUUUCAAAUUUCCCUAAUUAAAUGAGAUUAAAAUUGAAGAAUUCCAUGUUUUUUCUUACAUCCUUUCAAAGAGAUUUUCACAACAAGGCAUAAUUUGGUUCCUAUUUUGCACAAGGAGUGGUUGUAUGCAAUGUUGUUUAUCUUGUGAAACAUAUUGGACAAAGACAAUACA